rnacentral:misc_RNA from 1 species
GAUGAAGAACGUAGCGAAAUGCGAUAAGUAAUGUGAAUUGCAGAAUUCAGAGAAUCAUCGAAUCUUUGAACGCAUCUUGCGCUCCUUGGUAUUCUGAGGAGCAUGCCUGUUUGAGUGUCAUUUCAAGUUCUCAACCACAUCAAUUUCAAUGUGGCUUGGAUGGUGGGGGUUCUUUUUGCAGGCUUCUGUAAAUAUGAAGUCGGCUCCCCUGAAAUGUAUUAGUGGUAUCUGAGCUACUACAGGUGUGAUAACUAUCUAUGCCUUGGUAUGCUGCAUGAAACAGAUUGCGCCGCUUCUAACAAGUGGGAAACACAAUUUUGAUGAAUUUGACCUCAAAUCAGGUAGGACUACCCGCUGAACUUAAGCAUAUCAAUAAGCGGAGGA